rnacentral:rRNA from 1 species
ACCAUAAACGAUGCCAACCAACAAUCUUGUAUCGUUUAAUUUAAACGAACAAGGCAGCUUUCGGAAAACUAAAGUAUUUGGGUUCCGGGGGUAGUAUGGUUGCAAAGCUGAAACUUAAAGUAAUUGACGGAGUGGCACCACCAGGCGUGGAGCCUGUGGCUUAAUUUGACUCAACACGGGGAAACUUACCAGGCCAGGACAAUUAAAGGAUUGACAGAUUGAUAGCUCUCUCUCGAUAAAUUGGGUGGUGGUGCAUGGCCGUUCUUAGUUGGUGGAGUGAUUUGUCUGGUUAAUUCCGAUAACGAACGAGACUCCGACCAAUUAUUGAUGUAGCCGCAUAAAGAUCAACGAUAGCUUAGGCGUGUCAACGAUCGCGGUUGCAAAAAGAUAUGGGAUUAGCUAUAGUAAAUAGCACGAGAUAGAGCAAUAACAGGUCUGUGAUGCCCUUAGAUGUUCUGGGCCGCACACGCGCUACAAUAGCUUAACCAACAAGUUUUCCCUGUUUAAGAACGGGGGUAAACUAAUGAAACUAAGCGGUAGCCGGAAUGGAGAAUUGCAAUUAUUUUUCCUGAACUAGGAAUGCCUAGUAUAUUCGAGUCAACAGCUCGAAUAGAUUACGUCCCUGCCACUUGUACACACCGCCCGUCGCUACUACCGAUCGGAUUUAUUAGUGAAUUUUAAAGACAAGCCUAGCUUAUUUAUAUAGGCAUGGUUUGAAAUUAAUGUGAACUGAUGAAUCUAGAGGAAGUAAAAGUCGUAACAAGGUUUCCGUAGG